UACAGAGGAUGCAAGCGUUAUCCGGAAUGAUUGGGCGUAAAGCGUCUGUAGGUGGCUUUUUAAGUCCGCCGUCAAAUCCCAGGGCUCAACUCUGGACAGGCGGUGGAAACUACCAAGCUCGAGUACGGUAGGGGCAGAGGGAAUUUCCGGUGGAGCGGUGAAAUGCGCAGAUAUCAGGAGGAACACCGGUGGCGAAAGCGCUCAUCUGGCCCGAUACUGACGCUGAUGCGCGAAAGCUAGGGGAGCGAACGGG
rnacentral:rRNA from 1 species